ensembl:snRNA U2 U2 spliceosomal RNA
AUCGCUUCUCGGCCUUUUGGCUAAGAUCAAGUGUAGUUUCCUCCAUAUCUUUUCAUGGUUUGAUAACUCAUUUCUUUUUAGCUGUAAAUAAUUUUCCAUUGUAUAUACUACAGUUUAUUUAUCCAUUCACCUACUGAAAGACACCUUUCCGAGUUUGGGCAAUUAUGA